GCCUAGGUUGAUCCAAGCAUAUGUACUUACCUCACAUUUUGUACCUCACUUAGGUAUAAUAGUCCAUUUUUUUUUUCAUCCAGAUUUUGAGUUUUGAAGUAAAUGCUGAGGAUGAGGGCAAGUUCCCCAUUUUAAAAGACGGUGAAAUGCAGACAGCAUGCCUGACUAUAAUGAAUCUAAAUCAGCAGUAAAUUUCCGUUAGGUCCUGGGAUGCCUUUUGGUGGAAGAAAGAAAACCAAGAGCACAGGAUGCUGUUCAUCUCAUUCGAUGUCACGCAAAAUGGGGAGAAGUACUUCCUUUUUAAAGAUCAUCUAUUUCUCAGUUUGCUGUUUAACUGUAAAGCUCUAUAAUUUAAACACUUUGAAUAAAACAAUUCUUUUC
ensembl:lncRNA